CAGUAGCCGCGGUAAUACGGAGGGUGCAAGCGUUAAUCGGAAUUACUGGGCGUAAAGCGCACGCAGGCGGUCUGACAAGUCAGAUGUGAAAUCCCCGGGCUUAACCUGGGAACUGCAUUUGAAACUGUCAGGCUGGAGUCUUGUAGAGGGGGGUAGAAUUCCAGGUGUAGCGGUGAAAUGCGUAGAGAUCUGGAGGAAUACCGGUGGCGAAGGCGGCCCCCUGGACAAAGACUGACGCUCAGGUGCGAAAGCGUGGGGAGCAAACAGGAUUAGAUACCCCAGUAGUCCCUGUCUCUUAUAA
rnacentral:rRNA from 1 species